rnacentral:tRNA from 1 species
GGAGGCGUGCCAGAGCGGUCGAACGGGACUGUCUUGAAAACAGUUAUACCGGAAACGGUAUCGUAGGUUCGAAUCCUACCGCCUCCGCCU